UACGUAGGUGGCAAGCGUUUGUCCGGAAUUAUUGGGCGUAAAGCGCGCGCAGGCGGCCUCUUAAGUCUGAUGUGAAAGCCCCCGGCUCAACCGGGGAGGGCCCAUUGGAAACUGGGAGGCUUGAGUAUAGGAGAGAAGAGUGGAAUUCCACGUGUAGCGGUGAAAUGCGUAGAGAUGUGGAGGAACACCAGUGGCGAAGGCGACUCUUGGCCGUAUAACUGACGCUGGAGGCGCGAAAGCGUGGGGAGCAAACAGGA
rnacentral:rRNA from 1 species